GGGGAAUUUUGGACAAUGGGCGCAAGCCUGAUCCAGCAAUGCCGCGUGCAGGAUGAAGGCCUUCGGGUUGUAAACUGCUUUUGUACGGAACGAAAAGCCUCUCUCUAAUACAGGGGAGUGAUGACGGUACCGUAAGAAUAAGCACCGGCUAACUACGUGCCAGCAGCCGCGGUAAUACGUAGGGUGCAAGCGUUAAUCGGAAUUACUGGGCGUAAAGCGUGCGCAGGCGGUUUUGUAAGACAGUGGUGAAAUCCCCGGGCUCAACCUGGGAAUUGCGAUGGAAACUGGGCGACUAGAGUGUGGCAGAGGGUAGUGGAAUUCCUGGUGUAGCAGUGAAAUGCGUAGAGAUCAGGAGGAACAUCCGUGGCGAAGGCGACUGCCUGGGCCAACACUGACACUGAGGCACGAAAGCGUGGGGAGCAAACA
rnacentral:rRNA from 1 species